rnacentral:rRNA from 1 species
UACGGGGGGGGCAAGCGUUGUUCGGAAUUACUGGGCGUAAAGGGCUCGUAGGCGGCCAACUAAGUCGGAUGUGAAAUCCCCAGGCUCAACUUGGGAACUGCAUCCGAUACUGGAUGGCUUGAAUCCGGGAGAGGGAUGCAGAAUUCCAGGUGUAGCGGUGAAAUGCGUAGAUAUCGAGAGGAACACCUGCGGCGAAGGCGGGUUGCUGGGCUGACACUGACGCUGAUGCGCGAAAGCCAGGGGAGCCAACGGG